CAACAACGGAUCUCUUGGUUCUGGCAUCGAUGAAGAACGCAGCGAAAUGCGAUAAGUAAUGUGAAUUGCAGAAUUCAGUGAAUCAUCGAAUCUUUGAACGCACAUUGCGCCCCUUGGUAUUCCGGGGGGCAUGCCUGUUCGAGCGUCAUUACAACCCUC
rnacentral:rRNA from 1 species